rnacentral:lncRNA from 1 species
CUGUGAAUGGCUGCGUCUCCCACAGCCCGUCUCCUCUGCUCCGGAGAGCCCAGAUCUCCAUGCAGGGUCAAAAGCAAAGGCAGGGGAAAUGCUGCGUGUGCUUGGUGACAAACACAUCGUUCUCAAAGAAUUAAAGAAUGCAUGUGUAGGAAAUGUUAUCGUAGGGUGGCACUAGUGGCAAGGGGGCACAGUCACGGAUGUCGCUGCCAUCAGGUCUGAGUUGGCCUCUGCACCCUCUGGAAGGAUUGGAAAGCAUAUCUGAAAGGAGUCAGAUAACAGCAAACAGCUACAGAGUUGGUGGCUGGACUUGGCGUUUUUCUGGAAGCUCUGGAAGUCUGAAACCCAGGAGUUUGCAAGGCUGGUACUUGAUGGAGAAUGGGAAAGGGUCCCUGUCCCAUAUUUCUCUCUGGUGUCUGCUGGCUGCUGACAAUCCUAGCACCCCUUUGAUCUGUACCCUCAACAUUCCACCAUCCCUACAUCUGCACUGUGGCCUUCUCUGUGCCAAAGCUUUCUCUUCUCUCCCUUGCAAAUACAACUGUUAAGGCCCACACUUAGCCCAGGAUGACCUCAUCCAGAGACUCUUGGCUUUAGAACAUUGGGAAGAUCCUAUUUCUAAGUGAGUUCAUGUUCACACAUAUUUGGGUUUAGUAUGUGAACAUCUUCUUUUGGAGAGAAACACAGUUCAACCUACUAUGAAGACUCAACAAAUGCCAUUGGGAAAAGCAUGGGCUACUGCUACAACCAAGGAUAGUCACUGUCAGUGGAAGAUGAGGCAACAGCAAUGCAAUCUUAGAGCUUAUUUUAGAGGACAAUGGUCUCAUAGAAAGUCUGUGUUGGACAUAGAGGUACUAAGAAUGGAGGACUCCAACCCUGGCAUUUGAAUGUUUGAGAACUCCUGAGAUAUCCUCCUGAUAGUCUACUCCGCCCACUAACAUCUGUGGAUCCCAGUAGGAAAGACUUUUGUAUGCUGGCUGGUAUUUCAAAUGCUGCAGCUCCUAGCCUGCAGUUCAUGGAGUUGCCCAACAUAGCUCCCCAAAAAGAACUCCCAAAAAGUCCAACAAAACAGACAAAAGCAAGCUAACCCUACCUUGUCCCUCUUUCUUCUUCAAAGUCCUAUGUGGUCUUGUCUUUCUGGGAAUACCACCUGCUGUGAGUUCUCAAUAAACUUUCACUGGUAAAUAUUG